rnacentral:misc_RNA from 1 species
ACACCAUUUCUGCGUUUCCACAAUUGCCAGCAGCAGAGGAGGACAAAGGAGUUGAAUUCUGCACCCGGAAGGCGAUCAGGGCGACUGAUGUUUGGCAGGUCCUGGGUGCCCAGAUCAUCAGCGACAGAGAAUCCGAUGGAGCUCCAAAAUUGGCGUGCAAACGGGCAGUGGAAGAUGAUGUGCGAAGGAGUUUCACUGUCUUGGUUACAUAUUUCACAACAGUCAUCAUCCACAAUCCCUUUUUUCUUCAGGUUCCAUUUGCACUGAAUUUUUCCUUGCAUAAGCAGCCAACAGAAGAAUUGUGCCCGCGGGGG